rnacentral:tRNA from 1 species
GCCACCCUAGCUCAAUUGGUAGAGCAACGGUUUUGUAAACCGUAGGUUGGGGGUUCAAGUCCCCUGGGUGGCC